rnacentral:rRNA from 1 species
UGCGCAGGCGGAAUGAUUAGUCAGUGGUGAAAGCCCUCGGCUCAACCGAGGAACUGCCAUUGAUACUGUCAUUCUUGAGUACAGUUGUAGUGGGCGGAAUGUGUCAUGUAGCGGUGAAAUGCAUAGAGAUGACACAGAACACCGAUCGCGAAGGCAGCUCACUAAGCUGAAACUGACGCUCAGGCGCGAAAGCGUGGGUAGCAAACAGGAUUAGAUACCCUGGUAGUCC